GAUAUGCGUUGAUGCGGGAGGUUGCCGCCGUAAAGCCGAAGGGCUGGCGGGUUUUUCCGCGGAGUAUGUCCGAUCUUAGAACCGGGCGA
rfam:Subdoligranulum sp. 60_17 Ley3_66761_scaffold_967, whole genome shotgun sequence.